rnacentral:tRNA from 1 species
GGAGGGAUGGCCGAGCGGUUUAAGGCACCGGUCUUGAAAACCGGCGUGGGUGCAAGCCCACCGUGGGUUCGGAUCCCACUCCCUCCGCCA